AUAUAAAGCUGGGGGAAGAAGAAGGAAGGGGGGGAUGUUGAGUGAUGACAUUUGUCUUCCCUUGGGAAGAGGCUCAUCCCCUACACUUCAGGUGUAUUGACCCCUGUGAUUUCCCCAAAUGCAAGAAACUCAACUGCAUAAUUUGUGGUGCUUAGUUGCUGGCUGGGGUUAAACCAU
rnacentral:snRNA from 14 species